rnacentral:rRNA from 1 species
UGCCAAGUCGAGCGAACUGAUUAGAAGCUUGCUUCUAUGACGUUAGCGGCGGACGGGUGAGUAACACGUGGGCAACCUGCCUGUAAGACUGGGAUAACUUCGGGAAACCGAAGCUAAUACCGGAUAGGAUCUUCUCCUUCAUGGGAGAUGAUUGAAAGAUGGUUUCGGCUAUCACUUACAGAUGGGCCCGCGGUGCAUUAGCUAGUUGGUGAGGUAACGGCUCACCAAGGCAACGAUGCAUAGCCGACCUGAGAGGGUGAUCGGCCACACUGGGACUGAGACACGGCCCAGACUCCUACGGGAGGCAGCAGUAGGGAAUCUUCCGCAAUGGACGAAAGUCUGACGGAGCAACGCCGCGUGAGUGAUGAAGGCUUUCGGGUCGUAAAACUCUGUUGUUAGGGAAGAACAAGUACGAGAGUAACUGCUCGUACCUUGACGGUACCUAACCAGAAAGCCACGGCUAACUACGUGCCAGCAGCCGCGGUAAUACGUAGGUGGCAAGCGUUAUCCGGAAUUAUUGGGCGUAAAGCGCGCGCAGGCGGUUUCUUAAGUCUGAUGUGAAAGCCCACGGCUCAACCGUGGAGGGUCAUUGGAAACUGGGGAACUUGAGUGCAGAAGAGAAAAGCGGAAUUCCACGUGUAGCGGUGAAAUGCGUAGAGAUGUGGAGGAACACCAGUGGCG